UACGGAGGAUCCGAGCGUUAUCCGGAUUUAUUGGGUUUAAAGGGUGCGUAGGUGGAUUGGUAAGUCAGUGGUGAAAGUUUGCAGCUUAACUGUAAAAUUGCCGUUGAAACUGCCGGUCUUGAGUGCAAAUGAGGUAGGCGGAAUGCGUCGUGUAGCGGUGAAAUGCUUAGAUAUGACGCAGAACUCCGAUUGCGAAGGCAGCUUACUGGGAUGCAGCUGACGCUGAGGCACGAAAGCGUGGGUAUCAAACAGGAUUAGA
rnacentral:rRNA from 1 species